rnacentral:rRNA from 1 species
UACGGGGGGAGCAAGCGUUUGUUCGGAUUUACUGGGCGUAAAGGGCGCGUAGGCGGUCGUGACAAGUCACUUGUGAAAUCUCCGGGCUUAACUCGGAACGGUCAAGUGAUACUGUCGGACUAGAGUACAGAAGGGGCAACUGGAAUUCUCGGUGUAGCGGUGAAAUGCGUAGAUAUCGAGAGGAACACCUGCGGCGAAGGCGGGUUGCUGGGCUGAUACUGACGCUGAGGAGCGAAAGCGUGGGGAGCGAACAGG